rnacentral:rRNA from 1 species
GAUGAACGCUGGCGGCGUGCUUAACACAUGCAAGUCGAACGGGAAGGCUCCUGCUUGCAGGGGUACUCGAGUGGCGAACGGGUGAGUAACACGUGGGUGAUCUGCCCUGCACUUCGGGAUAAGCCUGGGAAACUGGGUCUAAUACCGGAUAGGACGAUGGUUUGGAUGCCAUUGUGGAAAGUUUUUCGGUGUGGGAUGAGCUCGCGGCCUAUCAGCUUGUUGGUGGGGUAAUGGCCUACCAAGGCGUCGACGGGUAGCCGGCCUGAGAGGGUGUACGGCCACAUUGGGACUGAGAUACGGCCCAGACUCCUACGGGAGGCAGCAGUGGGGAAUAUUGCACAAUGGGCGCAAGCCUGAUGCAGCGACGCCGCGUGGGGGAUGACGGCCUUCGGGUUGUAAACUCCUUUCGCUAGGGACGAAGCGUUUUGUGACGGUACCUGGAGAAGAAGCACCGGCUAACUACGUG